rnacentral:rRNA from 1 species
UACGGGGGGAGCAAGCGUUGUUCGGAUUUACUGGGCGUAAAGGGCGCGUAGGCGGCGUGACAAGUCACUUGUGAAAUCUCCGGGCUUAACCCGGAGCGGCCAAGUGAUACUGUCGUGCUAGAGUGCGGAAGGGGCUACUGGAAUUCUCGGUGUAGCGGUGAAAUGCGUAGAUAUCUGGAGGAAUACCGGUGGCGAAGGCGGCAUCCUGGACCGGGAUUGACACUGAGGAGCGAAAGCUAGGGGAGCAAACGGG